GUUUAUGUAGCUCAGUGGCAGAGCACUUGCCAGCAUAUGUGAGACCUGGGGUUCAAAUCCCAGCACUAUCA
rnacentral:tRNA from 1 species